rnacentral:rRNA from 1 species
UACGAAGGGGGCUAGCGUUGCUCGGAAUCACUGGGCGUAAAGCGCACGUAGGCGGCUUUUUAAGUCAGGGGUGAAAUCCUGGAGCUCAACUCCAGAACUGCCUUUGAUACUGAGAAGCUUGAGUCCGGGAGAGGUGAGUGGAACUGCGAGUGUAGAGGUGAAAUUCGUAGAUAUUCGCAAGAACACCAGUGGCGAAGGCGGCUCACUGGCCCGAUACUGACGCUAAGGCACGAAAGCGUGGGGAGCAAACAGG